UGGUGGAGUGAUUUGUCUGGUUAAUUCCGAUAACGAACGAGACCUUAACCUGCUAAAUAGCCCGGCCGGCUUUUGCUGGUCGCUGGCUUCUUAGAGGGACUGUCUGCGUCUAGCAGACGGAAGUUUGAGGCAAUAACA
rnacentral:rRNA from 1 species